UACGGCUCCUCUGCUGGGGGACCUGCAGGGGGGAGACCUUGACCCCAUCGUCGUCCGAAGACUGAUGCUAUAUGACCUGAGGUGCUGUGCUAAGGCCUGGAUCACCUCCCUGAGAUCCUCUGCUCCAAUAUCGUCGUGGACCAGCUCUAUUUUUGCUUCACUGUCUUGUGUCUCUGAAGCAGGUUUAAGUGUGAAUGAUUAAAAUGGGUAUAGUUGUA